GAUGAACGCUGGCGGCGUGCUUAACACAUGCAAGUCGAACGGAAAGGCCCAAGCUUGCUUGGGUACUCGAGUGGCGAACGGGUGAGUAACACGUGGGUGAUCUGCCCUGCACUUCGGGAUAAGCCUGGGAAACUGGGUCUAAUACCGGAUAGGACCACUUCUUGGAUGUUGUGGUGGAAAGUUUUUUCGGUGUGGGAUGAGCUCGCGGCCUAUCAGCUUGUUGGUGGGGUAAUGGCCUACCAAGGCGUCGCCGGGUAGACGGCCUGAGAGAGUGUACGGCGACAUUGGGACUGAGGUAAGGCCCAGACUCCGAAGGGAGGGAGAAGUGGGAAAUAUUGAACAAGGGGCGCAAGCCUGAUGCAGCGACGCCGCGGGGGGGAUGACGGCCUUCGGGUUGUAAACUCCUUGCGCUAGGGACGAAGCGUGUUGUGACGGUACCUGGAGAAGAAGCAACGGCUAACUACGUG
rnacentral:rRNA from 1 species